rnacentral:rRNA from 1 species
AGCAGCCGCGGUAAUUCCAGCUCCAAUAGCGUAUAUUAAAGUUGUUGCAGUUAAAAAGCUCGUAGUUGAAUUUCGGGGUCAGUAGGUUGGUCGUGCCACUGGUAUGUACUGGCCUUACUGAUUCCUCCUUCCUGAUGAACCGUAAUGCCAUUAAUUUGGUGUUGCGGGGAAUCUGGACUGUUACUUUGAAAAAAUUAGAGUGUUUAAAGCAGGCUAACGCUUGAAUACAUUAGCAUGGAAUAAUGGAAUAGGACGUUCGAUCCUAUUUUGUUGGUUUCUAGGAUUGACGUAAUGAUUAAUAGGGAUAGUUGGGGGCAUUAGUAUUCAAUUGUCAGAGGUGAAAUUCUUGGAUUUAUUGAAGACUAACUACUGCGAAAGCAUUUGCCAAGGAUGUUUUCAUUAAUCAAGAACGAAAGUUAGGGGAUCGAAGACGAUCAGAUACCGUCGUAGUCUUAACCAUAAACUAUGCCGACUAGGGAUCGGAUGAUGUUAAUUUUUUAAUGACUCAUUCGGCGCCUUACG